CCUCUGGGUUGUAAACUCCUUUUAUCUGGGAAGAAAUCCAAGUAUUCUUAUUUGGUUGACGGUACCAGAGGAAUAAGCACCGGCUAACUCCGUGCCAGCAGCCGCGGUAAUACGGAGGGUGCAAGCGUUAUCCGGAUUCACUGGGUUUAAAGGGUGCGUAGGCGGGCAGGUAAGUCCGUGGUGAAAUCUCUGAGCUUAACUCAGAAACUGCCAUGGAUACUAUUUGUCUUGAAUGUUGUGGAGGUAAGCGGAAUAUGUCAUGUAGCGGUGAAAUGCUUAGAUAUGACAUAGAACACCAAUUGCGAAGGCAGCUUACUACACAAAUAUUGACGCUGAGGCACGAAAGCGUGGGGAUCAAACAGGAUUAGAUACCCUGGUAGUCCACGCCCUAAACGAUGAUUACUCGACAUCAGCGAUACACUGUUGGUGUCUGAGCGAAAGCAUUAAGUAAUCCACCUGGGAAGUACGAUCGCAAGAUUGAAACUCAA
rnacentral:rRNA from 1 species